GACGAACGCUGGCGGCGUGCUUAACACAUGCAAGUCGAACGGUAAGGCCCUUCGGGGUACGCGAGUGGCGAACGGGUGAGUAACACGUGGGUGAUCUGCCCUGCACUUCGGGAUAAGCCUGGGAAACUGGGUCUAAUACCGGAUAGGACCACUGCCUGCAUGGGUGGUGGUGGAAAGCUUUUGCGGUGUGGGAUGGGCCCGCGGCCUAUCAGCUUGUUGGUGGGGUGUGGGCCUACCAAGGCGACGACGGGUAGCCGGCCUGAGAGGGUGACCGGCCACACUGGGACUGAGAUACGGCCCAGACUCCUACGGGAGGCAGCAGUGGGGAAUAUUGCACAAUGGGCGCAAGCCUGAUGCAGCGACGCCGCGUGAGGGAUGACGGCCUUCGGGUUGUAAACCUCUUUCAGCACCGACGAAGCGCAAGUGACGGUAGGUGCAGAAGAAGGACCGGCCAACUACGUGCCAGCAGCCGCCGUAA
rnacentral:rRNA from 1 species